rnacentral:rRNA from 1 species
UACGGGGGGGGCAAGCGUUGUUCGGAAUUACUGGGCGUAAAGGGCUUGUAGGUGGCCAACUAAGUCAGACGUGAAAUCCCUCGGCUUAACCGGGGAACUGCGUCUGAUACUGGAUGGCUGGAGUGUGGGAGAGGGAUGCGGAAUUCCAGGUGUAGCGGUGAAAUGCGUAGAUAUCAGGAGGAACACCGGUGGCGAAGGCGGGUCUCUGGGCCGAUACUGACGCUGAGGAGCGAAAGCGUGGGGAGCGAACAGG